rnacentral:rRNA from 1 species
CCCGCUCAGAAACUUAAAGGAAUGACGGGGCCCGCACAAGCGGUGGAGCAUGUGGUUUAAUUCGAUGAUACGCGAGGAACCUUACCUGGGCUCAAAUGUAUGUUGACGUAUUCUGAAAGGGAUACUUCUUCGGACAAUAUACAAGGUGCUGCAUGGUUGUCGUCAGCUCGUGCCGUGAGGUGUCGGGUUAAGUCCCAUAACGAGCGCAACCCCUAUCAUUAGUUGCCAUCAGGUCAAGCUGGGGACUCUAAUGAAACUGCCUACGCAAGUAGUGAGGAAGGUGGGGAUGACGUCAAAUCAGCACGGCCCUUAUGUCCUGGGCUACACACGUGCUACAAUGGCCGGUACAGAGCGCAGCGAAGCCGCGAGGCAAAGCGAAUCGCAAAAAGCCGGUCUCAGUACGGAUUGGAGUCUGAAACUCGACUCCAUGAAGUUGGAAUCGCUAGUAAUCGCGCAUCAGCAUGGCGCGGUGAAUACGUUCCCGGGCCUU